CCUACGGGUGGCAGCAGUGAGGAAUAUUGGUCAAUGGACGAGAGUCUGAACCAGCCAAGUAGCGUGAAGGAUGACUGCCCUAUGGGUUGUAAACUUCUUUUAUAUGGGAAUAAAACGUUCCACGUGUGGGAUUUUGUAUGUACCAUAUGAAUAAGGAUCGGCUAACUCCGUGCCAGCAGCCGCAGUAAUACGGAGGAUCCGAGCGUUAUCCGGAUUUAUUGGGUUUAAAGGGAGCGUAGGUGGAUUGUUAAGUCAGUUGUGAAAGUUUGCGGCUCAACCGUAAAAUUGCAGUUGAAACUGGCAGUCUUGAGUACAGUAGAGGUGGGCGGAAUUCGUGGUGUAGCGGUGAAAUGCUUAGAUAUCACGAAGAACUCCGAUUGCGAAGGCAGUUCACUGGACUGCAACUGACACUGAGGCUCGAAAGUGUGGGUAUCAAACAGGAUUAGAUACCCUUGUAGUC
rnacentral:rRNA from 1 species